rnacentral:rRNA from 1 species
UACAGAGGUCCCAAGCGUUGUUCGGAUUCACUGGGCGUAAAGGGUGCGUAGGCGGUCGGGUAAGUCUGAUGUGAAAUCUCACAGCUUAACUGUGAAACUGCAUUGGAUACUAUCCGGCUCGAGGAAUGGAGGGGAGACUGGAAUACUUGGUGUAGCAGUGAGAUGCGUAGAUAUCAAGUGGAACACCAGUGGCGAAGGCGAGUCUCUGGACAUUUCCUGACGCUGAGGCACGAAAGCCAGGGGAGCAAACGGG